UGAAGGCGUUGUUCUUCUUCCUCUUUCUCUUCCUCUUCCUUCCAUUUGGACAGGACCAGUGACAUUACAGAAUUGGAUUUAAGGGAGGCAGAGUUGCACAAAAUCUCUGAAGAAGAAUUUUGAUCUUAAGUUAUAAGUUGAAGAAAGAGAGAAACUCCCUGAGGCAGAGUUGAGAUCCUUCAUUCCUUGAUUGGGGGAUGGUUAGUGCCAUGGUUUCAGAAAUUAGAGGGCCAUGCUAUGAAAGAGUUAGUUCUGCUUGAUUUUGAAAAGAAGCAUCAAUUCUUGGUGAAGGAAGAAAAACAAAGUCUGGAUCAGGAAGUAAGAGACAACUUGGCAAAAUUUGAAAAGAGCAAGGCCAGACUGAGACAACAUAUCCACAAUCUGAAAAUGGUGGUGUCAGCAGCAGAAGACAAUUUUGAGAAGCCUUACAUUGAUUUGAUUCUGAUGAAUGCCUAUGAUAAAAAAUUAAGAAUGGUUCUGAAGGUCAUAUUCUCAAAUAAUUAAAUCUUGAUCUUUGCUGCAGCCCUUCCUAAAUCCUGUUACUCUGAGUAGGGUGGAGAUUGUAAGUUCCAAGACCUGGUUCUGUCAUUCCAAGUAUCUCUAUUGUAUCAAUUCUAAAAUCAAUCAUGACUCAAAGAACUUCCUGUUCUAUGCUUAAGCAUAGGUCAAAGCCCUUUCCAUUGUUUAGCAAAAUGUUUCUGUCCUAAAGUAGUCUUAUGUAGGGAGGAGAAGGAUCCUCCCAUGCCAAGGAGUUUCACAUUCCAAUAGAGUUCUUACUAUCAGUAGGAAAUUUUUCAAGUAUGAAAUUUCCCAAUGGGGAAAUUUCCAACAUUCAUAAGUCUAAGAAAUUUUAAGGUUUACAGUUCCAUUCCGUUUUCAUCUGUGGAAGAUGUGACAAUGUCUAUUUAAUAUCAGAACCCAUAUUAUUUACUCAUACCCACUUUAGCAAAGGAGUUAUAGCCUCUUAGACCCCAAAUCUUUUUCCAACUUUCUGUCUGCAGUUCUCUUAUUCUACAAAAAUUACUAGAUGGACUGUCCGAUGAAUUUUCUGUGGAGGAGAGGAAUUGGGGAAGUGUGACUCUCUAUUCAAUAGAAUGAUUCCCUCAUUUUCAAAAGGGGGCCAGAUGACAUGAAGUCAAUGAAAAAAUGUUCAGGGGUUGGUGCUUAG
rnacentral:lncRNA from 1 species